AACAUUUUGUGCACAGCAUUCACAUUUUUGUUUCUUCAUCAAAGUCUUCCUCGUCGCUGCAACAAGUCAAUCUCCACACACACAAAAUAUCUCUCUCAAUAUACAUCCGUUUGUAUAUGUAAUUCAGUGAUUGCAAUCGACUGAAUUUGCACAAUUGGAGAGGGAAAGCAUGGCGUUGGGAGUAAUGAAACAGGAUGCUGAGAUAAUCAAGCCGCGCAAUGAUAAAAGAGAGUAUCGAAGGAUUGUUCUGCAAAACAAUCUCCAAGUUCUCCUCAUCAGCGAUGCCGAAACUGAUAAAUGUGCUGCUUCAAUGGAUGUUCGCGUCGGUUCUUUCAGUGAUCCUGAGGGACUCGAAGGCCUCGCGCAUUUUCUUGAACACAUGCUUUUCUAUGCUAGCGAAAAGUAUCCACAGGAAGACAGUUACUCAAAGUACAUCAGUGAGCAUGGAGGCAGCACAAAUGCUUUCACGUCAUCUGAACACACCAACUAUUACUUUGAUGUCAACCCUGACUCCUUUGAAGAAGCACUAGACAGAUUUGCUCAGUUUUUCAUAAAACCACUGAUGUCGGCUGAUGCAACUACGAGGGAAAUAAAAGCAGUUGAUUCUGAGAAUCAGAAAAAUUUGCUAUCUGAUGUCUGGCGGAUGAAUCAGCUUCAGAAACAUUUGAGCCUGAAAGACCACCCGUACCACAAGUUCAGUACAGGAAAUUGGGAUACUUUGGAAGUCCGGCCAAAGGAAAGAGGAUUGGAUACUAGACAAGAGCUUCUGAAGUUCUAUAAUGAAAAUUAUUCGGCCAAUCUCAUGCAUCUUGUGAUAUAUACUAAAGAUGGCCUCUAUAAAUGUGAAAGCCUUGUGCGGAGCUAUUUUGAGGAUAUCCGAAAUACAAAUAAAAACUUUAUCAGUUUCCCCGGCCAGCCUUGUGAUUCAGAAAGCCUUCAGAUUCUUGUAAAAGCCGUCCCAAUUAAGCAAGGUCACAAGUUGAAAUUUGUAUGGCCAAUAACACCUGGAAUUCGUCAUUACAAUGAAGGGCCAAGCCGGUAUCUAGGUCACUUGAUUGGCCAUGAAGGAGAAGGAUCUUUGUUUUACAUCUUGAAAAAACUGGGUUGGGCUACAAGUUUAUCUGCUGGUGAAUCAGAUUGGACUAAUGAGUUUUCUUUCUUUAGAGUCAGUAUUGAUCUAACAGAUGCUGGCCAAGAACAUUUUGAAGAUAUUGUGGCUCUAUUGUUUAAAUAUAUUCAACUUCUCCAGCAAUCUGGACCCUGUCAAUGGAUUUUUGAUGAGCUUGCAGCCAUUUGCGAAACUUCCUUUCACUAUCAAGACAAGAUUCGUCCCAUUGAUUAUGUGGUUAAUGUUGCAAUUAAUAUGCAGUUUUACCCUCCUAAAGAUUGGCUGGUUGGAUCAUCUUUGCCUUCAAAGUUCAAUUCUGAGGUCAUUCAGUCAGCAUUGAAAGAGCUCAGUCCAUUCAAUGUGAGAAUAUUUUGGGAGUCAACGAAGUUUGAGGGACUUGCAGAUUCAAAAGAGCCUUGGUAUAGUACGGCUUAUUCUGUUGAGCGAUUAACUGGCUCCAAAAUUGAGCAAUGGGCUGAUAAAGCUCCUGGUGAAGAUCUGCAUCUACCUGUCCCAAAUGUGUUUAUUCCUACAGAUCUAUCCCUUAAGACUGUCUCGGAGGAAAUGACAUUACCAGUUUUGUUGAGGAAGACACCUUACUCAAGGUUGUGGUACAAGCCAGAUACAUCAUUUUCAACUCCCAAGGCAUAUGUCAAGAUAGAUUUCAAUUGUCCCUUUUCUGGAAGUUCUCCUGAAUCAGAAGUCCUCACUGAAAUAUUUACGCGUUUACUGAUGGACUACUUAAAUGAAUAUGCAUACGAUGCACAGGUUGCUGGUCUUUAUUAUUCAGUUAGCAACACUGACUUUGGUUUCCAGGUCACUGUGGUUGGAUAUAAUCACAAGCUGUCGAUCUUACUGGAGACAGUAAUACAACGAAUUGCGAAUUUUGAAGUUAAACCGGACAGAUUUGCUGUAAUUAAGGAAUUGGUCACAAAAGAGUAUCAGAAUAUGAAGUUUCAACAGCCAUAUCAGCAAGCUAUGUACUACUGUUCGUUAAUACUACAAGACCAAACAUGGCCUUGGACUGAGGAACUUGAAGUUCUACCUCACCUUGAAGUCGAGCAUCUUGUGAAAUUUUUCCCUUUAAUGAUAUCAAGGAUCUUCUUGGAAUGCUUUGCUGCAGGAAAUCUUGAGCCAAAAGAAGCAGAGUCCAUGAUCCAGCAUAUAGAAGAUGUGUUCUUUGAGGGUUCCAAUCCCGUAUCUCAGCCUCUGUUUUCAUCUCAAUACAUGACAAAUAGAGUUGUGAAGCUUGAGAGGGGAAUAAAUUACUUCUACAGCACGGAAGGCCUAAAUCCUAGUGAUGAGAAUUCUGCACUUGUCCAUUACAUUCAGGUGCACCAGGAUGAUUUCAAGCUAAAUGUCACACUUCAACUUUUUGCCGUGAUUGCAAAGCAACCUGCAUUUCACCAGCUUAGAUCAGUCGAGCAGCUUGGUUAUAUUACUGUGCUUAUGCAGAGGAAUGACUCUGGUGUCCGAGGUGUACAAUUCAUUAUCCAAUCAAAUGUCAAGGGUCCUGGUCAAAUUGAUCUGAGAGUUGAGUCGUUUCUCAAGGUGUUUGAAACUAAGCUCUAUGAAAUGCCCAGCGAUGAAUUUAAGAGCAACGUUAAUGCACUUAUUGAAAUGAAGCUGGAGAAGCACAAAAACCUACGAGAAGAAUCUGGAUUCUACUGGCGAGAAGUAUCUGAUGGCACCUUUAAAUUCGACAGGAGAGAACGCGAGGUAGCAGCACUAAGGCAAUUAACUCAAAAGGACUUGAUAGAUUUCUUCAACGAGUACAUUAAAGUCGGUGCUCCCCUCAAGAAGGGUUUGAGCGUACGCGUAUAUGGGAGCGCACAUUCUUCAGAGUACCAUACAGACAAAACCCAACCUGCUGAAUCCAGCGUUGUUCCAAUAGAAGAUAUCUUUAGUUUCAGAAGAUCACGACCUCUGUAUGGCUCGUUCAAAGGAGGCUUUGGUCACUUGAAGCUUUAAGAUUGCGAAACUCUGUGUAGGAUCAGAAGUAGAACUCUUCCUAUAGCCAUUUUCUGUACAAUCAAGUGGAUAAAACGGAAUAGAGGUGUAACGAUGAGGAGUUGGUGCCAUCUUUGUGGUCGAUAAGCAUCUCCAUACGUCCAGAGCUUUCUUCUUCAGAUGGCUUUACGUAUGCACAGAGCUAAAGAACACAUGAUUUGAGCUGCCACUACUGCUGACUACUAGCAUUGAUCCUUGAAGCCCAUCACGGUGUCGGGCGUGGUGGUUGAGCUGCCGCUGGUGUAGGUCAUCAGUGGCGGUGGAUUGUGGUGGAGCUGCUGCUGCUGGUGGCUGUCAGAGGCGGUGGCGGGUGGAGGGUGGUAGUACAUCCGAGCGGUUUGAGGGCAAUGGGAAUGAAAUCUAGCUGCUAUUCUCACUCCUAUAUCCAACAUUUCCACAUAUUUCCCCAUUAUCAAAGACUUCAAAAAAAGUUCCCUACGCAGUGUGUAUACAGAUAGCUUAAUGUUGCCCCGCUUCACCUAAUAUGGGUGUAUAUAUAGAUGUGGAUACAGCUGGUUUAUGGGUAUUUGAGCUCAAGUUUUUGGCCUAAUGAAGUAGUGAAGGGUUGACAAUGACUAAUGACUUUGUCAAAUAUGGCUUUUGUUAUGGAACUAGAUGUAUAAACAUAGUUGUGUUGGUCAA